ACAUCAUCAUCACGUGGUAGAAAGUAAAUCGACGACAAUGGUUGAAACUUGUGGGGGGGAUCGUUAACCUUUGCUCCACUACAACCGCAACGAGGAAAGAGUGUGAAAAUGUCUGCAAGGACCACAGCAAAGUACGUGGAGGAAAAGGACCGUAGUCGUCGACGACAGGAACAUCUUUGGCUGCAGCCUUAUGUUGUGUUGCGCAGAGCAGACAUCAAUGAAGCUAUUCGUCCUAAGCAGAUGGACCCAGAGCGCACUCACGUUAAAGAGGAAGAUGUGGGCAAAGAGGUCCAUCACUUCAAUGAACAAAUGGAUCAGACGUUUCUUUGCACCAUAAAAGAGGAGGAAGAGCCGGAGCAGCCUUAUAAU